AGAGUUUGAUCCUGGCUCAGGAUGAACGCUGGCGGUAUGCUUAACACAUGCAAGUCGUACGAGAGUUUUUAACUCUAGUGGCGAACGGGUGAGUAAUACGUGAGAAUCUGCCCUUAGGAGGAGAAUAACUGCUGGAAACGGCAGCUAAGUCUCCAUAUGCCGAGAGGUGAAAUAGUUUACACUGCCUAAGGAUGAGCUCGCGCCUGAUUAGCUUGUUGGUGAGGUAACGGCUUACCAAGGCCACGAUCAGUAGCUGGUUUGAGAGAACGAUCAGCCACACUGGGACUGAGACACGGCCCAGACUCCUCCGGGAGGCAGCAGUGAGGAAUUUUCCGCAAUGGGCGAAAGCCUGACGGAGCAAUACCGCGUGAGGGAUGAAGGAUUUUGGUCUGUAAACCUCUUUUCUCAAGAAAGAAGUUCUGACGGUACUUGAGGAAUAAGCAUCGGCUAACUCCGUGCCAGCAGCCGCGGUAAUACGGGGGAUGCAAGCGUUAUCCGGAAUCAUUGGGCGUAAAGCGCCUGUAGGUCGUUUAAUAAGUCCGUUGUUAAAGACUAGGGCUUAACCCUAGGAAAGCGAUGGAAACUGAUAGACUUGAGUAUGGCAGGGGUAGAGGGAAUUUCUAGUGUAGCGGUGAAAUGCGUAGAUAUUAGAAAGAACACCGGUGGCGAAAGCGCUCUACUGGACCAUUACUGACACUGAGAGGCGAAAGCUAGGGGAGCGAAAGGGAUUAGAUACCCCUGUAGUCCUAGCCGUAAACGAUGGAUACUAGAUGUUGUGCAAUUUGGACAGUAUCGUAGCUAACGCGUUAAGUAUCCCGCCUGGGGAGUACGCUCGCAAGGGUGAAACUCAAAGGAAUUGACGGGGGCCCGCACAAGCGGUGGAGCAUGUGGUUUAAUU
rnacentral:rRNA from 1 species